AGUUUUUCUAAUUUGGUCAAUAAGACCGUUCAUAUGUUUAUUAUUAUAUCAAAUCAUGGUAAUUUCAGAGAUGGUAUUUUGUACCUAAAUUUGUUUAAUUUGAAUUGUCCGAAUCUGAUUCAAUAUAAUUUUCUAAUCAUUAAAAUUGAGUUCGGAUUAGUAGAAAAAAUGAGCAGAUUGGGUAAGUUCAGUUUCAACUUCUAAAACAUGUUCGAACUUGAUU
rnacentral:lncRNA from 1 species